rnacentral:ncRNA from 1 species
CCUUAUCAAGAGCGGCGGAGGGAACAGGCCCUGCGAUGCCCGGCAACCUGGCGUUUGCCAAGGUGCCAAAUCCUGCGGUAUAUCCGGAAGAUGAGG